UGGGGAAUUUUGGACAAUGGGCGCAAGCCUGAUCCAGCAAUGCCGCGUGCAGGAUGAAGGCCUUCGGGUUGUAAACUGCUUUUGUACGGAACGAAAAGGCUCUGGCUAAUACCUGGGGCACAUGACGGUACCGUAAGAAUAAGCACCGGCUAACUACGUGCCAGCAGCCGCGGUAAUACGUAGGGUGCGAGCGUUAAUCGGAAUUACUGGGCGUAAAGCGUGCGCAGGCGGUUUUGUAAGACAGAGGUGAAAUCCCCGGGCUCAACCUGGGAACUGCCUUUGUGACUGCAAGGCUGGAGUGCGGCAGAGGGGGAUGGAAUUCCGCGUGUAGCAGUGAAAUGCGUAGAUAUGCGGAGGAACACCGAUGGCGAAGGCAAUCCCCUGGGCCUGCACUGACGCUCAUGCACGAAAGCGUGGGGAGCAAACAGGAUUAGAUACCCUGGUAGUCCACGCCCUAAACGAUGUCAACUGGCUUGUUGGGUCUUAAUUGACUCAGUAAACGAAGCUAACGCGUGAAGUUGGACCGCCUGGGGAGUACGGCCGCAAGGUUGAAACUUAAAGGAAUUGACGGGGUCAUAGCUGUUUCCU
rnacentral:rRNA from 1 species